AUGUAAACAAAAAUUUAGAAUGGCGUUUCAAGCAGGUCUAAUUCCAUGCAAAUCCCAAAUUUGUUGUGUUCGCCGGUAAGCCUGAUUGGAAUUAUUAACGGAUUGUGCAACAUUGAGUACAAUUCUGGAAUAAAAAUUCUCAAUUCGAUUUCGAGAUGGCAUGUACUCAACGAAACAAGCCCAUGACAGGCCAUUUGGGUAUGCUGAAAGAACUAAACUGCAACGAGAAAUUAACACCCUCAAAGCUGACGCCGGUGCACCCGAGCAGGGUUUCGAAGCGUCCAGAAUCGGAAACGCUCGGAUCGGGUGUUCUUCGUUGAGGAACUCGGCAUAACUUUCUGACUGCACCAUAGUCACGACGAUCUGGAAUGUUUUCAGCAUAAGGGCACUUGAAUCAAAACUCGGAAUACCAUCGGAAAUGGCCCUCGGGAGGGUGCGAAGACCGUCUCCAAAAACCGGAGUAGUUUUUUCGGCGACUGGACAUCUCUAGUACCGUAGACAUGCACGUAGUAGCUCCUCCAACCGAUAAGGCAACCACGGAAAGUGGAAUUAGUGGGCCAAAGGCGAUUCCCAAUCGCAAACCGCUUGGCACCGACGCAGGAGGAACUUCUUUUAACAAGUUAAAGUGAUUAUAGUUAGUAUAAAAAGUUCGAAAAAUAAAAACAAUGAAAAAUUUAAAUAA